UACGAAGGGGGCUAGCGUUGCUCGGAAUCACUGGGCGUAAAGGGUGCGUAGGCGGGUCUUUAAGUCAGGGGUGAAAUCCUGGAGCUCAACUCCAGAACUGCCUUUGAUACUGAGGAUCUUGAGUUCGGGAGAGGUGAGUGGAACUGCGAGUGUAGAGGUGAAAUUCGUAGAUAUUCGCAAGAACACCAGUGGCGAAGGCGAGUCUCUGGACAUUUCCUGACGCUGAGGCACGAAAGUGUGGGGAGCGAACAGG
rnacentral:rRNA from 1 species